UCAAUUGUGAAGCUGGUGAAAGAAGAAUUCGUUUAGUAGCAGAGCUCCAUAGAAACACCGUUGCGACUCGCGGCGAGCUCUCAAUUCCAGAGCAUAACCUGAAAUCUGCUCAGCCGAGCCCUAACAUCAAUUGAAAGAUUCACAGCGCCAAAGAAUUGCAGUGCGCCCGUGUGCUAAUUUGGAGACUACAAUCUUGAAAGAUGGAUUCUGAAUUGGUAGUACACAAUGGUGGGUGCCAUUGCAAAAGAGUGAGAUGGCGAGUGCAAGCAGCAUCGAGUGUUGUUGCCUGGGCAUGUAACUGUUCCGACUGCUCCAUGAGAGGGAACACUCACUUCAUUGUUCCUUCUGAAAAGUUUGAGCUUCUUGGAGAUUCUGAGCAGUUCCUUACAACCUAUACAUUUGGUACUCACACCGCAAAACAUACUUUCUGCAAAGUUUGUGGCAUUACAUCCUUCUACAUUCCACGCUCAAAUCCAGAUGGAAGGGCAGUUACAUUCAGGUGUGUAGAUCCCGGUACCCUAUCCCAUGUCGAGAUCAAACAUUUUAAUGGAAAUAAUUGGGAGAACUCGUACAAAGAAACCGGCAUUGCUUCAUGCUCUAAAGUGAGACAAGGUUCGUAGAUGAUGAUACCCUCCUGCAGGUAGAUGCAACUUCAUAGCUCACUUUUAUCAUGUAACCAUAUUCUGGCAAAUUAUGUUUUCUUUCUUGCAAACUUGCCAAUGAUUUUCCUUGUAUUACAGUUUGUCUUAAUGUUCGUGUCAUUAUAGUACUCAAUGUCGUUAUAGGUCAUUUGGUGAGCCUUGGCCUUCCAUAAUUAAGAUUAAGGUUGUGUUUAGUUAGAGAUUUUUGUAUCCUACUAUAGAAUUUGAUACUCAUUACCAUGUUUGUUUGU